UAAAUAAAUUUGUUUUGUUUUUUUCUUAACAUGGUUAAAAACAGACUAUUGACCAUGAUUUUGUUUUAAGUGGUCAGUUACUAACUACGCCAUUGUAUCCUCACCAGGUGAUUUAUCGUGUCAAGUACACUGGAUGAAGGACAACAGCAUUGAGUGCAGAAGACAGGCUGUGAUCAGAGGUCUCAGUCUCUACCUUGGAGAAAAGACAGAAGAACUAAUCAAGGACUACAAGGUUUUUGAUGAUGACGAUGCUGCGACUGUCCAAGAGGCCCUGACUACACACGUUCUCAACAUCUUCGUGGUCAGCAAAGCCAGAGAUGAA